rnacentral:tRNA from 1 species
GGUGAUGUAGCUCAGAUGGCUAGAGCAUGGAGCUCAUAAUUCCAGGGUCGGUGGUUCGAGUCCACCCAUCACCACCA